rnacentral:tRNA from 1 species
AUCACCUUGGCAGAUGAAUGCAUUGGAUUUAGGAUCCAUUUAUAUAGGUUUAUACUAUAGGUGAUA